UACAGAGGUCCCGAGCGUUGUUCGGAUUCACUGGGCGUAAAGGGUGCGUAGGUGGUUAGGUAAGUCCGAUGUGAAAUCUCCAGGCUCAACCUGGAAAUGGCAUUGGAUACUAUUUAGCUUGAGGAGUGGAGGGGGGACUGGAAUUCUCGGUGUAGCAGUGAAAUGCGUAGAUAUCGAGAGGAACACCAGUGGCGAAGGCGAGUCCCUGGACACUUCCUGACACUGAGGCAUGAAAGCUAGGGGAGCAAACAGG
rnacentral:rRNA from 1 species